rnacentral:misc_RNA from 1 species
GAACGCACAUUGCGCCCAUUAGUAUUCUAGUGGGCAUGCCUGCUCGAGCGUCAUUUCAACCCUUAAGCUUAGCUUAGUAUUGGGAAUCUGCUUAACCGCAGCUCCUUAAAUCUAGUUGGCAGAGCACAGCUGUACUCUGAGCGUAGUAAUUCAUUAUCUCGCUUCUGGAAGACAGCCGUACGAUCGCCACAAACCUAUUUAUUUUUUAAUGGUUGACCUCGGAUCAGGUAGGAAUACCCGCUGAACUUAAG